rnacentral:rRNA from 1 species
GACGAACGCUGGCGGCGUGCUUAACACAUGCCAGUCGAACGGAAAGGCCCUGCUUUUGUGGGGUGCUCGAGUGGCGAACGGGUGAGUAACACGUGAGUAACCUGCCCUUGACUUUGGGAUAACUUCAGGAAACUGGGGCUAAUACCGGAUAGGAGCUCCUGCUGCAUGGUGGGGGUUGGAAAGUUUCGGCGGUUGGGGAUGGACUCGCGGCUUAUCAGCUUGUUGGUGUGGUAGUGGCUUACCAAGGCUUUGACGGGUAGCCGGCCUGAGAGGGUGACCGGCCACAUUGGGACUGAGAUACGGACCAGACUCCUACGGGAGGCAGCAGUGGGGAAUAUUGCACAAUGGGCGGAAGCCUGAUGCAGCAACGCCGCGUGCGGGAUGACGGCCUUCGGGUUGUAAACCGCUUUCGCCUGUGACGAAGCGUGAGUGACGGUAAUGGGUAAAGAAGCACCGGCUAACUACGUG